rnacentral:rRNA from 1 species
GACGAACGCUGGCGGCGUGCUUAACACAUGCAAGUCGAACGAAGAGCGAUGGAAGCUUGCUUCUAUCAAUCUUAGUGGCGAACGGGUGAGUAACGCGUAAUCAACCUGCCCUUCAGAGGGGGACAACAGUUGGAAACGACUGCUAAUACCGCAUACGAUCUAAUCUCGGCAUCGAGGAUAGAUGAAAGGUGGCCUCUACAUGUAAGCUAUCACUGAAGGAGGGGAUUGCGUCUGAUUAGCUAGUUGGAGGGGUAACGGCCCACCAAGGCGAUGAGCAGUAGCCGGUCUGAGAGGAUGAACGGCCACAUUGGGACUGAGACACGGCCCAGACUCCUACGGGAGGCAGCAGUGGGGAAUCUUCCGCAAUGGACGAAAGUCUGACGGAGCAACGCCGCGUGAGUGAUGACGGCCUUCGGGUUGUAAAGCUCUGUUAAUCGGGACGAAAGGCCUUCUUGCGAAUAGUGAGAAGGAUUGACGGUACCGGAAUAGAAAGCCACGGCUAACUACGUG